rnacentral:rRNA from 2 species
AGUGGGGAAUAUUGCACAAUGGGCGAAAGCCUGAUGCAGCAACGCCGCGUGAGCGAUGAAGGCCUUCGGGUCGUAAAGCUCUGUCCUCAAGGAAGAUAAUGACGGUACUUGAGGAGGAAGCCCCGGCUAACUACGUGCCAGCAGCCGCGGUAAUACGUAGGGGGCUAGCGUUAUCCGGAAUUACUGGGCGUAAAGGGUGCGUAGGUGGUUUCUUAAGUCAGAGGUGAAAGGCUACGGCUCAACCGUAGUAAGCCUUUGAAACUGAGAAACUUGAGUGCAGGAGAGGAGAGUAGAAUUCCUAGUGUAGCGGUGAAAUGCGUAGAUAUUAGGAGGAAUACCAGUUGCGAAGGCGGCUCUCUGGACUGUAACUGACACUGAGGCACGAAAGCGUGGGGAGCAAA